AUGUUUGAUGCAGGAAGGGAAAGGCACAUGCGCACACACACACACUCACGUACUCACGGGUACACUCACACACACGCACACACAGACUCACAUACUCACUUGCACACUCACACACACGCACACAGACUCACGUACUCACUGGUACACUCACACACACAGACUCACGUACUCACUGGUACACUCACACACACAGACUCACGUACUCACUGGUACACACGCACACACACACACAGACUCACGUACUCACUGGUACACUCACACACACAGACUCACGUACUCACUGGUACAUGCACACACACACACAGACUCACGUACUCACUGGUACACUCACACACAUGCACACAGACUCACGUACUCACUGGUACACUCACACACACACACAGACUCACAUACUUGCACACUCACACACACGCACACAGACUCACGUACUCACUGGUACACUCACACACACACACAGACUCACGUACUCACUGGUACACUCACACACACAGACUCACGUACUCACUGGUACACUCACACACACACACAGACUCACGUACUCACUGGUACACACACACACACAGACUCACGUACUCACUGUUACACUCACACACACACACAGACUCACGUACUCACUGGUACACUCACACACACAGACUCACGUACUCACUGGUACACACGCACACACACACAGACUCACGUACUCACUGGUACACUCACACACACACACACAGACUCACGUACUCACUGGUACACUCACACACAUGCACACAGACUCACGUACUCACUGGUACACUCACACACAUGCACACAGACUCACAUACUUGCACACUCACACACACGCACACAGACUCACGUACUCACUGGUACACUCACACAUGCACACAGACUCACGUACUCACUGUACACUCACACACAUGCACACAGACUCACUACUCACUGGUACACUCACACACACACAGACUCACAACUGCACACCACACACAGACUCACGUACUCACUGGUACACUCACACACACACAGACUCACAUACUGACACUCACACACACACAGACUCACAUACUUGCACACUCACACACACGCACACAGACUCACGUACUCACUGGUACACUCACACACACACACAGACUCACAUACUUGCACACUCACACACACGCACACAGACUCACGUACUCACUGGUACACGCACACACACACACAGACUCACGUACUCACUGGUACACUCACACACACACACAGACUCACAUACUUGCACACUCACACACACGCACACAGACUCACGUACUCACUGGUACACGCACACACAUGCACACAGACUCACGUACUCACUGGUACACUCACACACAUGCACACAGACUCACGUACUCACUGGUACACUCACACACACACACAGACUCACGUACUCACUGGUACACUCACACACAUGCACACAGACUCACGUACUCACUGGUACACUCACACACACACACAGACUCACGUACUCACUGGUACACUCACACACAUGCACACAGACUCACGUACUCACUGGUACACUCACACACACACACAGACUCACAUACUUGCACACUCACACACACGCACACAGACUCACGUACUCACUGGUACACUCACACACACACAGAGACUCACGUACUCACUUGCACACUCACACACGCACACAGAAUCACGUACUCACUGGUACACACACACACACAGACUCACGUACUCACUGGUACACUCAUACAUACACACACGGACUCAUGUACUCACUGGUACACACACACACACAGAGACUCACGUACUCACUGGUACACACACACACACAGACUCACAUACUCACUGGUACACACACACAUACACUGA
rnacentral:lncRNA from 1 species